GGAUGUGAGGGUGAUUUGGCUGUGACAUCUGUCACCCCAUUGAUCGCCAGGGUUGAUUCGGCUGAUCUGGCUGGCUAGGCGGGUGCCCCCUUCCUCCCUCACCACUCCAUGUGCAUCCCUCCUGAAGCUGCAAGCUCGGUCAAAGAGGAUGGCCUUCCCCAAAUAAGUCAAACUCUCCACAUGCAGGUCUGCCUGUAGGCCAGAUUGAAUGCAGGUGGAAUUUGUCCUGAAUGCCUGUAGUUCUUCUAUAGCUCCUUUUGUUCCAUCACUAUCACAUACAAAUAUAUUUUUUAAUUUUUUUAAAUAUUUAUUUAU
rnacentral:snRNA from 1 species